UACCGUAUUCUGCUCACACGUCGGCUUGUGCUCUAUUAUCCUCGAGAGAAAGACCAACCGCGUGUGGCUCAACGAAACUUUUGCCUAGCCGGUCGAAUGUCUCUUAUUAGACAGGUGCGCGUGGCAGAUGCUAGGAGACCCUGUCCGGGGGUCCUUCGCUUUUGUUAACUCAUUCUCCAUCUCUUUCGCUCGGUCCCCGAGUGAUGAGCUAUUCAGAGAGGAAGGAGCGAGCGAGGUUUGACCAGUCUGUGGCGAGGUCUAAGGAGAAGGGUCGCCUUUCUCUUGCACCUCGGUAUGUCCGCUCGUGGUCUCGGUACGUACGACCCGUUCCCAAGCUCGCUCUAUGAAAGGGGUGAUUUCGAUCAACCUUUUGACUGACGGUUCGGGUGCGUUUAAAGAGAUCUUGGUGGAGACGCCAAGCCGCCGGCCCAAAACCUUCCCCGGUCGUCUAAUUAUUUUUUUUUCUUCACACGAUCAAGGACACACAACGAGCUUGUUGCGAGCCGUCGUCUUUUUCGACGGCCGUCUCACUCAACGUGUAGGAACGACCGUAGGCGUUGGAUCACUCGGCUCGU
rnacentral:misc_RNA from 1 species